rnacentral:tRNA from 1 species
UAGCUCAGUCAGUUGAACGUGGCGCUAACAACGCCAAGGUCAUGGGUUCGAUUCCCGU